AAAGUUUCUUCGGAAAUUAGUAAAGUGGCAAACGGGUGAGUAACACGUAAGAAUUUACCCUUCAAUGAAGGAUACUCCCGAGAAAUCGGGUUUAAUACUGCAUACGUCCCUACGGGGAGAAAGGCGGCCUCUUUGCUGUCGUUGAAGGAUAAGCUUGCGUCCUAUUAGCUAGUUGGUGAGGUAAAGGCUCACCAAGGCGAUGAUGGGUAACCGGCCUGAGAGGGUGUACGGUCACACUAGGACUGAGAUACGGCCUAGACUCCUACGGGAGGCAGCAGUGGGGAAUAUUGCACAAUGGGCGCAAGCCUGAUGCAGCGACGCUGCGUGGAGGAAGAAGGUCUUCGGAUUGUAAACUCCUGUUAAGUGGGAAGAAAGACCUGUAGUUAAUACCUGCAGGGGAUGACGGUACCACUAGAGAAAGCUCCGGCUAACUUCGUGCCAGCAGCCGCGGUAAUACGAAGGGAGCUAGUGUUAUUCGGAUUUAUUGGGCGUAAAGGGUGCGUAGGCGGUUUAUUAAGUCAGUUGUUAAAUCUCACUGCCUAACGGUGAGCUUGUAGCCGAAACUGAUAGACUAGAGGUAAGAAGAGAGGGGUGGAAUUCUCGGAGUAGCGGUAAAAUGCGUAGACCUCGAGAGGAACACCAAUGGCGAAGGCAGCCCCUUGGUCUUAUACUGACGCUGAAGUACGAAAGCGUGGGGAGCAAACAGGAUUAGAUACCCUGGUAGUCCACGCCGUAAACGAUGAUCACUGGAUAUGGGUUCUCCUUGAGAGGAUCUGUGUCGAAGCUAACGCGUUAAGUGAUCCGCCUGGGGACUACGGUCGCAAGAUUAAAACUCAAAGGAAUUGACGGGGGUCCGCACAAGCGGUGGAACAUGUGGUUUAAUUCGACACUACGCGAAGAACCUUACCUAGGCUUGACAUGUACUGGACCGCUGUGGAAACACAGUUUUUUGGGGAAACCUGAACCGGUACACAGGUGCUGCAUGGCUGUGUCAGCUCGUGUCGUGAGAUGUUGGGUUAAGUCCUUUAACGAGCGCAACCCUUGCCAUUAGUUGCUACUCGCAAGAGAGCACUCUAAUGGGACUGCCUAGGAAACUAGGAGGAAGGUGGGGAUGACGUCAAGUCUUCAUGGCCCUUAUGUCUAGGGCUACACACGUGUUACAAUGGUGAGUACAAUAGGAUGCAAACCCGCGAGGGGGAGCCAAACCGAUAAAACUCAUCUAAGUUCGGAUUGGAGUCUGCAACUUGACUCCAUGAAGUUGAAAUCGCUAGUAAUCGCGUAUCAGAGCGACGCGGUGAAUACGUUCUCGGACCUUAUACACACCGCCCGUCACAUCAUGGGAGUCGUUUACACCCGAAGUCAUUUUAGCUAACCGGUAACGGGGGCGGAUGCCGAAGGUGUGGGGGAUGACUGGGAUGAAGUCGAAACAAGGUA
rnacentral:rRNA from 1 species